AUUGAACGCUGGCGGCAUGCUUUACACAUGCAAGUCGAACGGUAACAGGCCUUCGGGUGCUGACGAGUGGCGAACGGGUGAGUAAUGCAUCGGAACGUGUCCAGAGGUGGGGGAUAACGCAGCGAAAGCUGUGCUAAUACCGCAUGUGAUCUGAGGAUGAAAGCAGGGGACCAAGCAGCAAUGUUUGGCCUCGCGCCUCUGGAGCGGCCGAUGUCAGAUUAGGUAGUUGGUGGGGUAAAGGCCUACCAAGCCGACGAUCUGUAGCUGGUCUGAGAGGACGACCAGCCACACUGGGACUGAGACACGGCCCAGACUCCUACGGGAGGCAGCAGUGGGGAAUUUUGGACAAUGGGCGCAAGCCUGAUCCAGCAAUGCCGCGUGCGGGAAGAAGGCCUUCGGGUUGUAAACCGCUUUUGUACGGAACGAAAAGGCUCUGGCUAAUACCUGGGGCUGAUGACGGUACCGUAAGAAUAAGCACCGGCUAACUACGUG
rnacentral:rRNA from 1 species